AUGAAGCAGUUGAAGGACCACGAAGCCUGUGAGACAUCGUCACUAAUUGGACAUAGUGCCAGAGUGUACGCACUUUACUACAGAGAUGGACUUCUCUGCACAGUGUUCAGUGUGGACUACAGUGAUGAACUGGAUAUUUUGGUGAGUGGUCCUUCGGACUUUGCUGUGAAAGCUUUAUCUGCUAGCACAUGUCUGAACACACUCACUGGGCAUACUGAAUGGGUCACCAAGGUGGUUUUGCAGAAGUGCAAGGUGAAGACUCUCUUGCACAGCCCUGGAGACUUCAUCCUCUUAAGUACGGAUAAAUAUGAGAUCAAGAUUUGGCCAACUGGAAGAGAAAUCAACACUAAGUGCCUUGUCCGUUUCUGAGGAUAGAAGCAUCUGCCCGGAGCCAAGACUUCAUUUUGAUGGAAAAUACAUUGUCUGUAGUUCAGCACUUGGUCUGUACCAGUGAGACUUUUGCCAGUUUUGAGAUUCUCAGGAUUCAAAACCUUUUUCUCUAAAAUGAGAGAUGAAGAUGAGAAGACCUUUCUUUCUAACCUACUUUAGGUCUAAUAUCUUAUGUUCGACUUCAUUGUCAGUUGAACUUAUGCAUUAUUAUUUGGUCCCGACUCCCCAUGGAGUCUAGGCAGUAAGUGGCCUUUUGUUGACUAGUGACUAGUUAAACAAUAAUUCAUAUCCA
rnacentral:lncRNA from 1 species